GGCGGAACUGUGGGAGGCAGUGGAGUCGGCUGCCGCCGGGCUCCUGGCCACAAGGGGGCGCAUCUCCUCCACUGUCUCCCGCAGCCUGAGGACUGCGCUGCUAUUGCAGAUGGAGGAGCUGUGUCAAUGACACGGAAGCUGCCUCUUGUAGAGAGAGAUGGCACUGGCUGCAGCUAGGGGGAGCUCCAGAGCACAGCUCCUCCCGGGCCCUUAGUAAGCCAGCCGAGGGAAGCUCAGAACUCUCUGCUCCUCCAUGCUCUGGAUGAUAGCCAAAGACAGCUGAAUCCCGCCCUGCCCGUUUUUGUGCGCCCUGCCGCCCCGCCGUUUGCUGCCUGCCGGACCCCGCCACGUCGCCGGAUCCAGCCGUGCGCCGCCGGACCCGGGGAAAUAAAAUCACCAAUUCAAUUAUCAACAGCUUCCAAACACUGUUUUCAGACUACAUCCUCUUGUUGCAGCAACAUUGCACAAAAGACUUCUGAUCGUCCCAACAAUCCAUAUAUUCUAUACAUAUCCUUGAUAGAUGAAAAUUAGGAAGUAACAACCAGUAUAUAACACAUCAGUUUAUUAUUUCUUCGGCUUUACAAUUCAAUAACCUAUUACAAUGGAUUGUAAAUUGCUCCGACUUUGGUAUAUAAGCCUUGCAUAACGAUACAAGUGUGAAAGUUCUGAGCAUAUAACACUGCUUUCUCAUCUCUGCACUGAUGUCUACUAAUAAAUAUCAGCCCAUUAGUUCAGCAAUACUAUUAUAGGGGAAAAAAUUAUUCUUCAUUAUUGUUAAGCAUGGCAUACCCAAUUUAAA